UCUUCGCUGACGAGUGGCGGACGGGUGAGUAAUGUCUGGGAAACUGCCUGAUGGAGGGGGAUAACUACUGGAAACGGUAGCUAAUACCGCAUAACGUCGCAAGACCAAAGAGGGGGACCUUCGGGCCUCUUGCCAUCGGAUGUGCCCAGAUGGGAUUAGCUAGUAGGUGGGGUAACGGCUCACCUAGGCGACGAUCCCUAGCUGGUCUGAGAGGAUGACCAGCCACACUGGAACUGAGACACGGUCCAGACUCCUACGGGAGGCAGCAGUGGGGAAUAU
rnacentral:rRNA from 1 species